UACGAAGGGGGCUAGCGUUGCUCGGAAUCACUGGGCGUAAAGGGUGCGUAGGCGGGUCUUUAAGUCAGAGGUGAAACCCUGGAGCUCAACUCCAGAACUGCCUUUGAUACUGAGGAUCUUGAGUUCGGGAGAGGUGAGUGGAACUGCGAGUGUAGAGGUGAAAUUCGUAGAUAUUCGGAAGAACACCAGUGGCGAAGGCGACUUACUGGACACAUAUUGACGCUGAGGUGCGAAAGCGUGGGGAGCAAACAGG
rnacentral:rRNA from 1 species